GCUAGGUUCCGGAACCUGACCUGAGCUGGGGCCUGUGCUUCCAGCGGGUGGUGGGGGGCCUGGUGUGCUGGCAUCAAGUAAGCCGACUACCUCGGCAAAGGCUUAGGGACAAGAGACCAGCAGCCUGAACUGGCUGGGGCAUCCGGAAGGCUUAGAUCUUGUGGCCAAGAGUUCAGACCGUGGCGAAGUGGAGAGUGACAUGCAGUUGGAUGGCGGUGACUGCGUGGUCCUGCAACCCUGGUUCCAGUCUGGCAAGCAUUGUAGACCUGGCUGCUGAAGACUGACGGGGCCCAGGGUCCGCUGCCCCCACCGCCAUCACCACCUCGGAACCCAGGGUAACGCUGUCAGUCUUUGAUGAUGUCAGAAGUGGGAUCCAAAGUAGAGCUUAUAAUGACACCUAGGAGUGCUGAGUGACCAAGCAAGGUACCCACCAGGCCGAUUAUGUCCAUUGUUCUCUUGGAGCAGCUGGUCAUCAUGGUAAGUUCUCUCUCAGAUUCAGAAGCUCCGCAUAUUUGUGUUUUGAGCUCUCCAAGUUUCUAUGAGCCCAUUUCUAAUCCAAACUGCGUUUGGAAGUCAUGCCAAAAACUGAACUGGGUCCAGAAUCAAAUUAGAUCUGGUAAUUAAGUGGCUUGGAUCCAGUUAGAGGCCUCUUACAUCUGACUGGGUCAGAAGAAAACCAGUAGUAAAUGGCAAUAAUGCAAGGAUAAAAUUUGGCUUUCACUCUUGAACAAGAUUUUCAUGUAAUAUUAAAGAAUAAUGAAUGUUUUUUUUCAACUUUGAAUAAACUACAGGAAAAAAAAAGAAAGAUACAACAAAAGAUUGUUUGGAAAGCUAAGUCUUCCCUCUAUUAAUGA
rnacentral:lncRNA from 1 species